CAAUGCGGCCGCAGCCUGAUGGAGCACACCGCGUGAGUGAAGAAGGGUUUCGGCUCGUAAAGCUCUGUUGUUAAAGAAGAACACGUAUGAGAGUAACUGUUCAUACGUUGACGGUAUUUAACCAGAAAGUCACGGCUAACUACGUGCCAGCAGCCGCGGUAAUACGUAGGUGGCAAGCGUUAUCCGGAUUUAUUGGGCGUAAAGAGAGUGCAGGCGGUUUUCUAAGUCUGAUGUGAAAGCCUUCGGCUUAACCGGAGAAGUGCAUCGGAAACUGGAUAACUUGAGUGCAGAAGAGGGUAGUGGAACUCCAUGUGUAGCGGUGGAAUGCGUAGAUAUAUGGAAGAACACCAGUGGCGAAGGCGGCUACCUGGUCUGCAACUGACGCUGAGACUCGAAAGCAUGGGUAGCGAACAGGAUUAGAUACCCUGGUAGUCCAUGCCGUAAACGAUGAGUGCUAGGUGUUGGAGGGUUUCCGCCCUUCAGUGCCGGAGCUAACGCAUUAAGCACUCCGCCUGGGGAGUACGACCGCAAGGUUGAAACUCA
rnacentral:rRNA from 2 species